UACGUAGGGAGCAAGCGUUGUCCGGAAUUAUUGGGCGUAAAGCGCGUGUAGGCGGCGUGACAAGUCGGGUGUGAAAGCCCUCAGCUCAACUGAGGAAGUGCGCCCGAAACUGUCGUGCUUGAGUGCCGGAGAGGGUGGCGGAAUUCCCCAAGUAGAGGUGAAAUUCGUAGAUAUGGGGAGGAACACCGGUGGCGAAGGCGGCCACCUGGACGGUAACUGACGCUGAGACGCGAAAGCUAGGGGAGCAAACGGG
rnacentral:rRNA from 1 species